AUGUCACGCAGUCGAAAGAGCAGGCACUUCUGGAGCGAGGAGGAGACGGAUCUGCUGCUGCAGACGCUGAAGCAGAUGAACAUCGACCGCUACACCGACGGACGGAAGCACCGCAACAGCCUGAUCUUCCGGAAGGUGUGCGCGCGGCACCGGGAGGCCGGCUUCGCGCGCUCCUGCGACCAGGUCAAGCACCGCUGGAAGACGCUCAAGGCCAUCUACUACAAAGCCAAGAGGCAGAGCAGCAGCUCCAGCUUCAAGCACUUCGACACGAUGGAGGAGAUCUUCGGACACAGGCCUUUGGUGCUCGUCACGAGCCCCCGCAGCGACCACAGAGACGGAUCCGCUCGCGACAGCAGAGAUGAUGAAGAGGAGGAAGAGGAGGGUGAGGAGGAGGAGGAUAAUGUAGAGGAUGAUGUGGAAGGUGGAAUCCAGGAAAUCCAGUCAGUGAAGAUGGAGAACGAGCCCCUGAUCCUCACACAAGCAUCACAAGAGAGCUCCAGCGCGUCCACAGAGACCUCCACCUCCAGCUCCACGCAGCCGAGCGCCGCUCCAGGCGUGCUGAAGCGCAGACGCUCGUGUUGCGCUGGGCUGCACAGUCAGUAUCAGGGCUUUCUGGAGAGACUGCAGCAGACGCAGAACGCCUGGCUGGAGCAGCAGCUGGAGCAGAGUCACAUCCGAGAGGAGCGUCUGGUGGCACAAGUGCUGGCAGAACACACCCGAUCCAUGGAGGCUUUGGUCAACCAGCUGUUCGCGGGCUUGAGGAGCCUCCUGCCCCCGUCCUGUCCCCAUCCCCAGACGUCAGCCCUGCAGAGCAGCAGUCCUGAAUCCUGAAUCACACAUAGACCUCAACCCCUCACAUGCACUCUUCAUCCUGACGCUCUCUCAGAGUUCACAUUCAGCAGCCCUGGACUGAGAUGUUAAAGGUAGUGAUAACUAGGGAUGGCCGUAUCAAUCCUAAAGUAUCGAUAUUGAUGCAAAUAUCUGAAGUAUUGAUGCUCAAAUUAAAAAUAUCGCUACUAAGGUGUGUUUUAUUUACCUGUGUUUUUGUUUGUUCAAUUAUAGUAUCUGUAGAGUUUUAACUACUGUAAACUAGUGUUGUCAAAAGUACUGAGCGUGAUACCAUUCAGUACUAAAGUUUUAAAAAGUCCAUUUCCCGCCAAGAUGUUGGGCAGAUUCUGAAAUGGCGCAGAUUGGCCAUUGUGUUCACGUGCUGUUUUAAGAAUCUGCUAAACAGCCCUCAAAUCUUAGUGGGAAAUAUACAUUUCCAUAUUCUGUAGCAAAUGGUAUCGCGGUCUGUACUUUUGACAACAUUAUAGUAAACAUAUUUUAACCAUGUAUAAUAGGGAUGGGCGAUAUGGGUUUAAAAAUAUAUCACAAUAAUUUCUGAUAUUUAUUGUGAUAAUGAUAUCAGCGAUGAUAAUUCAGGGGAUUAUAUGCAUCCAUGACAAAAAAAAAAAAAAAAAAUCCUGUUACUUUAGAGAAAAGUAUUCUCUUUUCCAUUUUUUGCCAAAACAGGGUGUUGUUAGCAUUACUAAGUACACACGUAAUGUAAUUAUGGUUGGGUAUCGUUUGAAUUUUAUCAAUUCUGAUUCAGAUUCUGCUUAUUGACUUUGAUUAUUUUCUAUUACCUGUUUCGAUUCCAAUGUGAUUAAAUAAUGAUAUCAAACAUUUAUCCUGUCUCUUUUUUGCAAACCAUUUAUUGGAGCAGAAUACCGUGAACAAAAUUCAACAGGCUACAUGAAAACUGCACUCUUUAAGAGUUGUUUGUGUGCAAAAUAGAACUGCAUGAUUCUGGGUAAACUGAGUUUUUUUUUUUUUACCCCCCAAUGGAAGUUGUGGUACUGAAAGAUUUUGAAUAUAAAUAUACUUUAUAUAAAUGUUUACCUAUACAUAAACUAAAAAAAUACAGAAUAUAUGAAUGCUUCAUAUAAAUACUGUACCUAAACACAACUAACCUACUGACAGAUUUUAACUAUAAAUAAACUAUACAUAAAUGUUUAACUAAAAACA
ensembl:lncRNA